AGCGAACGCUAGCGGCAGGCUUAACACAUGCAAGUCGAGCGCCAGGUUUCGGCCUGAGCGGCGAACGGGUGAGUAACACGUAGGUCACGUACCCUAUGGUGGGGAAUACCCCGGGGAAACUCGGAUCAAUGCCCCAUAUGUCCGAAAGGAUGAAAGCGCUUCGGCGCGCCAGAGGAUCGGCCUGCGGCCCAUUAUUUAAUCCUAGUUGGUGAGGUAAUGGCCCACCAAGGGUACGAUGGGUAGCUGGUCUGAGAGGACGAUCAGCCACACUGGAAUUGAGACACGGUCCAGACUCCUACGGGAGGCAGCAGUGGGGAAUAUUGGACAAUGGGCGGAAGCCUGAUCCAGCCAUGCCGCGUGAGUGAUGAAGGCCUUCGGGUUGUAAAGCUCUGUCGUGGGGGAAGAAGUUCUGACGGUACCCCACAAGAAAGCACCGGCUAACUCCGUGCCAGCCGCCGCGGUAACAC
rnacentral:rRNA from 1 species